GCUAACGUGUACUAAUACCCCGUGAGGCUUGACCAUAUAACCCCAAGGGGUU
rnacentral:rRNA from 1 species